ensembl:lncRNA
AGAAAACUGAAACUAAGAAGGAAAUCAAAAGCAAAAAGCCAGAAACUACUUCUUUAGCCCUUUUCUUUAUGAUCUCAGGACUUCAGGGACCUUGAAAGAUUGAUUUCCUCUCACUCAAGUUUCUUAUAAAAUUAGCUUUGGCUCAUACAUCUGUAACACAGUAGUUAAUUUUACAAGAUAAGCAGUACAGGGGAAAUGUAUCUGAGGGGAAAAUCGAGUGCUGGAAGCUCGAGAGACACUUAUAAGGUCACAAAACAAAGCCGGUAAGUAAAGUGGUUCUACGACAGAUCUGCAAAUAGCAAAGGGUCAGCUUCGGUUAAUUUCAGUGUAUCUUUCAUCGCCUUGCACUUUCCUUCUCAGCCAGCAUUAAACAGAAGUGGGCCUUACUCAAACCUGCUCCAUGGCAGGCUUUUGAAUUGCUCGGCCUAAGAGCUAUCAUGAUUUAAGUUGUGAAAUUUGAACUUUGUAUUUCAGCAUCCACCUGCCUGUAAUGGUUCUGGAGACUGUACCAGCCACGGCAAUGGAAGUAUUAACCAGUUCUUCAUCUUCACAGCUACUUAUGCCAUUCCUGGAGACUAAAUGUGCUUUCAGAUAAGGACCAUUGGCUAUCUGAGCUGGAAGGAAAAUUACAGUCUUUUUAAUUCAAUCCUUUCACUUUUUAGAAGGAGUCCCUGAGGCUCAGAAAGGCCCCUAAAGAUCCAGCAGUUUCUUUGGGAGCAGAGCUGGAAUUAGAACCAAGUGUCUCGACUAAUCUAGAUUCCUAAUCUGGAGCUCCUUAUACUCAGAGUGACUAAAAACCAGAAUGAUUUCUCACUUAUACACUCAGAGAAAGUCUCUGUGAAUUAAUUAAUCUUUUUAUUGGGAUAUGUUAAUCUUUUAAAACAUGCAGAAGACUCAUUUUACUUCAAUAUAUGUCAGCUUUGGGAAAAUGUUCACAAAUAAACUUCCCUAAGAAGCAACUUGGAGAUGUCUUCUGAACAGUUUGAUGAGACUGGCCUGUAAAACUGCUCAGUGGUCCACAGAUUACGAAUUUUGAAGUGACUAUUAACUAGAACUAUUAAAUUUCCACCUGAUUAUCAAAAUGCUGUGUUAAUCAACUUGCUUCAACAAAAUUCCCUUCAAGUCAGUCAAAUAAGUGGGGUUUCUCUCUGUUGUGCUCCAAGUGAUUGCAGUAGUUCAACAGGCAAGUUCUGAGGGUACAGCAUUCCUAUGGAACACACAAGGCUACUUAUCCCCAUCUCCCUUUGAUGCUUUUCCCUAAAACAUGGACUUAGCAUUUCCCAAGUGUGUCCCUUCGAAUGUUCACUUGGAUUUGAAAAGAUGAUUCCAUGGUCAGAACAAAAGGCCCUGAGCUUCCGAAGUGUACUCUGCUCCUGUCUCCCCACAGCCAGUGAAGCAUGACUGCUCCUUCAAGCCACAAACUGUCAAGAUUUAGAUUCAACAUGUCAAGAUUCUCAUUCAACAAUGAGAUUUGUGUGGGUUUUUUUUUAACGCUUCCCAGAAUCUAGGUAUUAGCUCUGAAUCUGAUAUAUUAAAUUCCAGAAGAAAUGUUGUCCCUUUCUUUUCUAUUAAUUCUUUUGAUCUGUUGUAUUAUUGAAAAUUUUGAACAUAGACAGACGUAGCAGAUUCAUAUGAUUUCUCAAGUACUCAUCAAACAAUCUUAAUAAGUAUCAAGUCAGAGCCUAUCUUCUUUCAUUUAUAUCCCCACCCACUCUCUCCACCCAGGAUUAACUUGAAGCAAAUUCCAGACACCCUACCAUUUUAUCUGUAAAUGUUUUCCUGUGUAUCUCUAAAAGAUAGAGAUGCUUUUAAAAAAAUAAUAUUAACCAAAAUACCAUUCUAAUGCCUAAAAAAGCCUAACGAUUCUUUAAUGUCUUUAAAUAUCCUGUCAUCCAAACAAGGUCUGUACAAUGCGAACAGUUGGUAUAUCUUCUAAGUCUCUGAAUCUUUAACUUCUCCUCCACCUCUCUUUUUAUCCCUCAUAACUUUUUGUAGAGGAAAUCAAGUCUUCUGUCCUGUAAAAGUUUCCAGAGCCUGGACUUUGUUCCUUGCAUCCCUGUGGUGUAAUUUAACAUGUUCUUCUAUCCCCUUUAUUUCCUAUAAAUGGGUAGUUGGACCUAGAGGCUUAAGCAGAUUCAGGUUUGACUUUUUUUCUUGUAAGGCAUUUCUAUACAUUGUGUUGUGUUCUUCUAUUUGGUUGAAGUACCAGAUAAUGAUGUGAUCAGUCAUUGCUAAUCAUUGCCUAGAUCCAUUAAUUCAAUUUAGGCUGCAAAACUGUGCCAUUCUAAUUCUAUCAUUUUCUUCACGUAUUAGCUGGAAUACAUCUUUAAAAGAAGACACUGCCUCUCAUUAACUAUUCAGUUGUCCAGAGGUAAAGUUAAUACGUUAAAGGCAGAAUAAAUGUCUGAGUUUUUUUCUCUUUAUUACCAGUUUUCAAAAGAAUGUGC